UCACUGAUGGCCUAGAGGUUAAGGAUCAGCAUUGUCACUGCUGUGGCUUGUCAUUGUUAUGGCUUGGGUUCAAUUCCUAGCCGGGGAG
rnacentral:tRNA from 1 species